rnacentral:rRNA from 1 species
UACAGAGGGUGCAAGCGUUGUUCGGAAUUAUUGGGCGUAAAGGGCGUGUAGGCGGUUUGCUAAGUCAUGUGUGAAAUCCCCCGGCUUAACCGAGGAACGACGCAUGAUACUGGCAAGCUAGAGUACCAAAGAGGGGGGUGGAAUUCCAGGUGUAGCGGUGAAAUGCGUAGAUAUCUGGAGGAACACCGGUGGCGAAGGCGGCAUCCUGGACCAACACUGACACUGAGGAGCGAAAGCCAGGGGAGCAAACGGG